UAGAUCGCCUACCAGGGGGAGCGCCUACCGAGGGGAGGCCUUCAGGAUUGUGGGUCUUAAGACUCUUUCACAGUGAGACGACAGGACCGCUGUCUUGUUGGGGUGUACCAUACCUUCUAACCGAUGUGGAACACACCUUUAUUUGGCAUCCAGGAUUUGGAUCAAGGCACCAUAACCACACAGGAUAUAUCUAGUCUGUGACUGGUCUGGAACAGUGCCACAUUCUAUGUGGAUUGGUCGUAGAACGGCACCCCCUGUAUAAACCAUAUGUAGAGCAAUGAAAUGAAUUGAUUGACUAUGUAACCUGGCCGUGAGCCAGUUGGUAUCAAGUUACAUUAGCAUUGUAUAGAUUUUUUGUGUCUUUGUUAUCAUACCUCCUGAUGAUCCCAAAGCACUGUCUAGGAGGAAACGCGUCGAGGUAAUCCAGGUGUUUGACUAUAUGUUCAACCCUGACUAUCUGUUUUUUGUGUUUGUACUGUGUCUCUUUGCAUCCAGUUAAUAGAUGUACCAUCGGUACCUUAUUACCCUCAC